AUUGAACGCUGGCGGCAGGCCCAACACAUGCAAGUCGAACGGUAACAGGAAGCAGCUUGCUGCUUCGCUGACGAGUGGCGGACGGGUGAGUAAUGUCUGGGAAACUGCCUGAUGGAGGGGGAUAACUACUGGAAACGGUAGCUAAUACCGCAUAACGUCGCAAGACCAAAGAGGGGGACCUUCGGGCCUCUUGCCAUCGGAUGUGCCCAGAUGGGAUUAGCUAGUAGGUGGGGUAACGGCUCACCUAGGCGACGAUCCCUAGCUGGUCUGAGGGGAUGACCCGCCACGCUGGAACUGAGACGCGGUCCAGACUCCUACGGGAGGCAGCAGUGGGGAAUAUGGCACAAUGGGCGCAAGCCUGAUGCAGCCAUGCCGCGUGUAUGAAGAAGGCCUUCGGGUCGUAAAGUACUUUCAGCGGGGAGGAAGGCGAUAAGGUUAAUAACCCUGUCGAUUGACGUUACCCGCAGAAGAAGCACCGGCUAACUCCGUGCCAGCCGCCGCAGUAA
rnacentral:rRNA from 1 species